rnacentral:rRNA from 1 species
GAUGAACGCUGGCGGCGUGCCUAAUACAUGCGAGUCGAGCGAACGGACGAGAAGCUUGCUUCUCUGAUGUUAGCGGCGGACGGGUGGGUAACACGUGGAUAACCUACCUAUAAGACUGGGAUAACUUCGGGAAACCGGAGCUAAUACCGGAUAAUAUUUUGAACCGCAUGGUUCAAAAGUGAAAGACGGUCUUGCUGUCACUUAUAGAUGGAUCCGCGCUGCAUUAGCUAGUUGGUAAGGUAACGGCUUACCAAGGCAACGAUGCAUAGCCGACCUGAGAGGGUGAUCGGCCACACUGGAACUGAGACACGGUCCAGACUCCUACGGGAGGCAGCAGUAGGGAAUAUUCCGCAAUGGGCGAAAGCCUGACGGAGCAACGCCGCGUGAGUGAUGAAGGUCUUCGGAUCGUAAAACUCUGUUAUUAGGGAAGAACAUAUGUGUAAGUAACUGUGCACAUCUUGACGGUACCUAAUCAGAAAGCCACGGCUAACUACGUG